rnacentral:rRNA from 1 species
AACGAACGCUGGCGGCAGGCCUAACACAUGCAAGUCGAGCGAGGACUUCGGUUCUAGCGGCGGACGGGUGAGUAACGCGUGGGAAUGUGCCCUUCUCUACGGAAUAGCCCUGGGAAACUGGGAGUAAUACCGUAUACGCCCUAUUGGGGAAAGAUUUAUCGGAGAAGGAUCAGCCCGCGUUGGAUUAGGUAGUUGGUGGGGUAAUGGCCUACCAAGCCGACGAUCCAUAGCUGGUUUGAGAGGAUGAUCAGCCACACUGGGACUGAGACACGGCCCAGACUCCUACGGGAGGCAGCAGUGGGGAAUCUUAGCCAAGGGGGCAACCCUGAUCUAGCCAUGCCGCGUGAGUGAUGAAGGCCUUAGGGUUGUAAAGCUCUUUCAGCUGGGAAGAUAAUGACGGUACCAGCAGAAGAAGCCCCGGCUAACUCCGUG